rnacentral:rRNA from 1 species
GAUGAACGCUAGCGGCAGGCCUAACACAUGCAAGUCGAGGGAUAAGCCUUCGGGCUAGGACCGGCGCACGGGUGCGUAACGCGUAUACAAUCUGCCUUUUAUCCGGGGGAUAGCCCGAAGAAAUUUGGAUUAAUACCCCAUGGUAUAAGAGCACGGCAUCGUGCACUUAUUAAAGCUACGGCGGUAAAAGAUGAGUAUGCGUUCUAUUAGCUAGUUGGAGAGGUAACGGCUCCCCAAGGCGACGAUAGAUAGGGGGUCUGAGAGGGAUGUCCCCCACACUGGUACUGAGAUACGGACCAGACUCCUACGGGAGGCAGCAGUGAGGAAUAUUGGACAAUGGUCGGAAGACUGAUCCAGCCAUGCCGCGUGCAGGAUGACGGCCUUAUGGGUUGUAAACUGCUUUUGUAAGGGAAGAAUAAGGAGUACGUGUACUUUGAUGACGGUACCUUACGAAUAAGCAUCGGCUAACUCCGUG